rnacentral:rRNA from 1 species
GAUCUCUUAAAGCCGUUCUCAGUUCGGACUGUAGGCUGCAACUCGCCUACACGAAGCUGGAAUCGCUAGUAAUCGCGGAUCAGCACGCCGCGGUGAAUACGUUCCCGGGCCUUGUACACACCGCCCGUCACACCAUGAGAGUCUGUAACACCCAAAGCCGGUGGGAUAACCUUUAUAGGAGUCAGCCGUCUAAGGUAGGACAGAUGAUUAGGGUGAAGUCGUAACAAGGUAGCCGUAGGAGAACCUGCGGCUGGAUCACCUCCUUU